rnacentral:rRNA from 1 species
UGGGGAAUAUUGCGCAAUGGCCGAAAGGCUGACGCAGCGACGCCGCGUGGGGGAUGAAGCAUUUCGGUGUGUAAACCCCUGUUGCCCGGGACGAACAAGCAGAUUUUUCUGCUCUGACGGUACCGGGUGAGGAAGCACCGGCUAACUCCGUGCCAGCAGCCGCGGUAAUACGGAGGGUGCGAGCGUUGUCCGGAAUCACUGGGCGUAAAGGGCGCGUAGGCGGUCUGCUAAGCGUGCGGUGAAAGCCCGGGGCUCAACCCCGGGUCUGCCGUGCGAACUGGUGGACUAGAGCACUGUAGAGGCAGGUGGAAUUCCGGGUGUAGCGGUGGAAUGCGUAGAUAUCCGGAGGAACACCAGUGGCGAAAGCGGCUUCCUGGACUGUAACUGACGCUCAGACGCGAAAGCUAGGGUAGCAAACG